AUGUGACGGGAAAGUGAAAGCAGAACCGAAGCAACCUCAUGGAAGGAGGUUUCUGUGGUAAACACCUACUUCUGCAUAGAGAACGGUCUCCAUUCCCUCCUGGGCCAAUGGGCAGUGUGAACUCAGAGUGUCAUUUGUGUCUGGCAGAGAAGGGCCUGGUUGGUAGCCAGGCAAGCUACCGAGUUGGAGACACUGAGUGGGAGUAGACCGGUUUUUUCUGGUUGCUUGUUUUCAUCAAGCAAGCACCACAUAUAGAUGAAGAGAGCCAAAGCAGGAAAGUGAGUGUACAGAAAUGGAAAAAGAAGAAGAUUCACUUUAGAAAAGAAGAGAUACAAUGGUUAGAUUUUGUUCUCCAUUAACAGAAGACCUGGUUGCUGUAUUCAAAAGGUCUAGGGAGAAGAAAGGACGUGACAGCUACUAAGCACCUAGUAGACGCCCAGCAUGGUUCUUUACUAAGUGAGACAUAAUUAGAUGACUAAGAAUUGAAGCUAUAUAAAUGAAUGUUUGAUCAAGGAGACAUUGUUAGCUGGGGACAGAUCCCUAGAGAGACCCUGCAUUUAUGGAUUCCCAGAGGAGCAAAAGCCCCAGAAGGAAUGAUGUGAGUGGUGUCAAGAAAACCAGAGGAGUGUGAUGCCUUGAAAUCUGAAUGAGAGUUUUCAAGAAAGUGGAGUGAUCCCCUGUGAUGAAAGCAGCAGAGAAAUCCACCAAGAUAAAGAUUCGGUGACCUUGGCAAUCAAUUUCUGUCCCAAUGAGGACAAGGAAAGACUGUCAGAUUG